rnacentral:misc_RNA from 1 species
AACGGGGGGAGUGAGCGUUAUUCAUCUUGACUGGGCGUAAAGGGUGUGUAGGUGGUUUUUAAAGUUUAAGUUAAAAAAUCUGGGCGUAACUCAGAAAUUAACUUUCAUACUAGAAAACUAGAGGGCAAAAGAGGUUCGUUGUAUUUUUAGUGGAAAAGUGAAAUUUAGAGAUAUUAAGAGGACACCCAUUAGGCGAAGGCAACAAGCCAUUAUGUUACUGACACUGAGACACAAAAGCGUGGGGAUCAAACAGG